UUGUGUGCACAGAGGCGGUACCAUGGCCAAUGAGGUAAAUCUAAGGUAUGGUUAUUGCUAGUUGAAAACUAUUAUCCUACAGGAAAGUUUUAAACAUUUUGGAGCAUUUUGAUUGCACCUCAUAUUUGGCUGCUAUUUCUAU
rnacentral:snRNA from 1 species